AACGAACGCUGGCGGCAGGCCUAACACAUGCAAGUCGAGCGCCCUUUCGGGGGAGCGGCGGACGGGUGAGUACCGCGUGGGAAUAUGCCCUUCUCUACGGAAUAGCCUCGGGAAACUGAGAGUAAUACCGUAUACGCCCUUUGGGGGAAAGAUUUAUCGGGGAAGGAUUAGCCCGCGUUGGAUUAGGUAGUUGGUGGGGUAAUGGCCUACCAAGCCGACGAUCCAUAGCUGGUUUGAGAGGAUGAUCAGCCACACUGGGACUGAGACACGGCCCAGACUCCUACGGGAAGCAGCAGUGGGGAAUCUUAGACAAUGGGGGCAACCCUGAUCUAGCCAUGCCGCGUGAGUGAUGAAGGCCUUAGGGUUGUAAAGCUCUUUCAGCUGGGAAGAUAAUGACGGUACCAGCAGAAGAAGCCCCGGCUAACUCCGUG
rnacentral:rRNA from 1 species